AAACUUUCCAAUGCACGCAAGUGUGAGAAGGAAAUCCAGAGUGCUUAGGAUUAAUCCUAGGCUUUUGCCAUGGGUAAAUACCAUGGAGAAUAAGUGGAGGGCAAUACCUGUGCCAGCCGCCGCGGUAACCCAGGAUCCACAAGUGGCAACCGCUUUUAUUUGGCCUAAAGCGUCCGUAGCUGGUUUUGUAAAUCUUCUGUGAAAUUUCGAGGCUUAACCUCGAAGCGCGCAGGAGACACUGCAUCACUUGGGACCGGGAGGCGUGAGGAGUAUUUUUGGGGGAGCGGUAAAAUGUUAUAAUCCCAAAAGGACUACCUGUGGCGAAGGCGCCUCACGAGAACGGAUCCGACAGUGAGGGACGAAAGCUAGGGGAGCAAAACGGAUUAGAUACCCGAGUAGUCCUAGCCGUAAACUCUGCAAGCUAGGUGUCGCGUAAUCUUCGGGAUUGCGCGGUGUCGUAGUGAAGAUGUUAAGCUUGCCGCCUGGGAAGUAUGGUCGCAAGGCUGAAACUUAA
rnacentral:rRNA from 1 species